rnacentral:rRNA from 1 species
GGAAUUUUCCGCAAUGGGCGAAAGCCUGACGGAGCAAUACCGCGUGAGGGAGGAAGGCUCUUGGGUUGUAAACCUCUUUUCUCAGGGAAGAAAGAAAUGACGGUACCUGAGGAAUAAGCAUCGGCUAACUCCGUGCCAGCAGCCGCGGUAAUACGGAGGAUGCAAGCGUUAUCCGGAAUGAUUGGGCGUAAAGGGUCCGCAGGUGGCCAUGUAAGUCUGCUGUUAAAGAAUCUAGCUCAACUAGAUCAAAGCAGUGGAAACUACACGGCUAGAGUGCGUUCGGGGUAGAGGGAAUUCCUGGUGUAGCGGUGAAAUGCGUAGAUAUCAGGAAGAACACCAGUGGCGAAGGCGCUCUACUAGGCCGCAACUGACACUGAGGGACGAAAGCUAGGGGAGCGAAUGGGAUUAGAUACCCCAGUAGUCCUAGCCGUAAACGAUGGAUACUAGGUGUGGCUUGUAUCGACCCAAGCCGUACCGUAGCUAACGCGUUAAGUAUCCCGCCUGGGGAGUACGCACGCAAGUGUGAAACUCAAAGGAAUUGACGGGGGCCCGCACAAGCGGUGGAGUAUGUGGUUUAAUUCGAUGCAACGCGAAGAACCUUACCAAGACUUGACAUGUCGCGAAUCUUUCUGAAAGGAGAGAGUGCCUUCGGGAGCGCGAACACAGGUGGUGCAUGGCUGUCGUCAGCUCGUGUCGUGAGAUGUUGGGUUAAGUCCCGCAACGAGCGCAAGCCUCGUUUUUAGUUGCCAGCAUUAAGUUGGGCACUCUAGAGAGACUGCCGGUGACAAACCGGAGGAAGGUGGGGAUGACGUCAAGUCAGCAUGCCCCUUACGUCUUGGGCUACACACGUACUACAAUGCUACGGACAAAGGGCAGCUACACAGCAAUGUGAUGCAAAUCUCAGAAACCGUAGCUCAGUUCAGAUCGCAGGCUGCAACUCGCCUGCGUGAAGUAGGAAUCGCUAGUAAUUGCAGGUCAGCAUACUGCAGUGAAUUCGUUCCCGGGCCUUGUACACACCGCCCGUCACACCAUGGAAGCUGAUCACGCCCGAAGUCGUUACCCCAACUUUUCGGAGAGGGGGAUGCCGAAGGCAGGAUUGGUGACUGGGGUGAAGUCGUAACAAGGCAGCCGUACCGGAAGGUGUGGCUG